AUGCAUGCUGGGCUAUAAUUUAUGAAACGGAGCCCAGGAAACAACCAAUCAGUUAGCUCCUCCUAACAAGUCCAACUGGCUACAAAAAGCUGGAAGUGCGGCACAGAACAAUGAAGAGGAGCUAUCCCACGUAUUAAUCUGCUUAUCUGGGAUUGCUUUCUGUGUAGAGAGAGGGGAGCAUGAAACAAGGGGUGGGGGGGGGAAGAGCAAAAUCACAGUUUUGCUGUGGAAACAACAGGAUAAA
rnacentral:lncRNA from 1 species